AUGUGCUUGGAGCUCUGGACUGGGUGAGCCUGCAGGCUCCGGAGUAUGGCCCAGGCUUGGGUCGCCCUGAACAGUCUAACGAGGGGGACAUGGCUAUUGUCCUCUCUCUGAUCAGAAGAUGCCCGGGAAAACACGUGUCCUGAGGAAUGGAGACUGCAACCCGCCACGCACUCUUCCGUCAGAAACCUCCCAGGCUCCCUGCAGCCACAGAAUGAAGUUGGAAUUCCUACUCCAGCUACCGUCAAGGCCUCCAUCCACAGACUCCUGCUUCUAACAACCAAUAUAAAUCAAUGCAUCUGUGUGACAUUGGCAAAUUUAAAGCAAAAUGAGAAGAUUCUGGACUCCUUUCAACUGUUUCACCAACCAUAUAAAAGCAAGGAAUCCAUAAACUGCUUCUUUAGGACGGUGGUCACUCCGCUGCUGCUUUCUUGGGCUGCAGCAGCUCGGGCACCUCUAUCAGACGCCUUCUUGCGCUGCCCCGGCAACCGUCACCAGGGAAACCAGCCACGCCGCUGCGUGACGUCUUCACGAGUCUACGGCAACCAAGAGGUCGCCGGGAGUUCGGAAAGGGACAGAGGCGCAGAUGGUCUGGGUUGAGGCGGCAUCCACCCACAGACGUGCAUGAAGGUGGGGCACCAGUUCACAUUUUGCAGAACUCUAAUGCAAUAUCACAACCAGAAUAUUGACGUUGGUAACUUUACUUGUUUUCAUUUGUGUGUGUGUUUAGUUCUAUAGAGUUUUAUCAUGCUUAGGCUUGCGUAUUCACCACCAUCCUCAGAUAUUGAGCACUUAAAUCGCCACAAGGAUUCUCCUUCUUGGGCUUCUGUAGCCACACCCACUUCCCUCCCUCCCCACCCCCAAAGGCCCUAAUCCCUGUGACCACCAAUCUGUUCUCCAUUUCUAAAAU